rnacentral:rRNA from 1 species
UACAGAGGGUGCAAGCGUUAAUCGGAUUUACUGGGCGUAAAGCGAGUGUAGGUGGUUUGCUAAGUCAGGUGUGAAAUCCCAGGGCUCAACCCUGGAACUGCAUUUGAUACUGUCGGGCUCGAAUCCGGAAGAGGUGAGUGGAAUUCCUGGUGUAGCGGUGAAAUGCGCAGAUAUCAGGAGGAACACCAAUGGCGAAGGCAGCUCACUGGGACGGUAUUGACGCUGAGACGCGAAAGCGUGGGGAGCAAACAGG